rnacentral:lncRNA from 1 species
GGGGACAUUGUGCCAUUGGAUCAGUCCAGCUGACUCGAACUGAUCUUGACCAUAUGAUCCUUGUCUUUCUAUUGGUAAGUUGCCCUGCCGUAAUGGUUGGCCAGUGGUUACAGUGGGCACGAGAUGCAGUUGACCAUUCUCCACAAUCAGCUCUUCUCAACUCUACAUCACUAAGAACUUCCCCCCUUGGGGAUUCUUAUAACUCUCUAUUGUACCUCCGGGUAAUCUCCAAUUGCUUGUUUGGAGCUGAUCCUGUUUGGAUGUGAGUGAAGGACGGCCACCUUGUAGUGUGCUCAGAUUUGCUCAUAGCUUGCAGUUCCUUCAACACAGAGAACAUCGCAGUAGGUUUCCUGUGUACGCUGCUCGGCAAGGUGUAGUAUAGUGUGAUCACCACUGUCAAUAAAUCUUUACAUCAACAAUGGUGGUAGGGGGCAUGGACACUUCUUUGUUAGACGGUCAAUGUACAAGCAAAAGAGAAUCUCAUCAUGAAAUUGGCUUAAAUGAGAGGAUAUUUUAAAUGGCAAAGGAAAAUUUAACUAAAACUGAAUUCAUGAUAAAUGAAGGGCAAGAGGAAAAUAGGAGGAUGGCAAUAGCAGAAGCCUAACACGUCUAUCAAUGCAAUUUGGUGAACUGAUGCCCAGUGAUUUCAGCAAUCUUUUGUAUGACGACCAAAUAAAAACUCAAGAAAUUGAUCUUGGAAUAGUUUUCUGGGUUAGGAUUUUAAAAGAAAUACAGAUAGGCCACGAAAAUUUCAAAGGCCGUGGACCAUACAGAAACCAGCGACCAUUUAUGCCAAUGGAGGGCCAUCUAAGGAAUUGAAGAACUUCACACGAUGAAAUUGUUCAAUAAAAGCUUACAAUGCACGCACAGGCUGAGGAGAAUUACACCUUGCAAUGUCAUCAGAGAGGAGAAGUGAAACAAGCUUUCUAUUAGUCCACCUAUGCCAUCAAUAUGCCGAACAAUGAACAACUAUGGCCAAGAAUCUAAGCUUUUGAGUUUAAGAAAAGCUAAAACGUUUUACUCAAUGAACUGAAUGUCUCAUAUUGCAACAAGAUAGGAUGCCGAACAACACCACUUUGUCCUAAUUCCGCCAAGAUAAAAGAUUACAUUGCCAGCUCCUCGAAACCACAAUGAAAAAGUUACUUCCCCAAUAGAAAGUAGAAACAGGCCUUGACAGAGAUCAUUGUCGUAUGACACGCUCACGAAACUAGGAAAUGUAGACCAAAGAGGCCGGGGUCUACAGGCAACGAAGGAACUAAGAGUUGGCCAGGCGGCUUGAUGCAAGACGUGAUGAUGUAAAUACUAACUUGCCCUAAUUAACUAAUUAAGAAGGUUUAUUAAGGUAAGAUCAAGUGAAAUCUUGCAAGAUUGAAAUCAAAUGGAUCGUCACGAUUAAGAAAUCGUUAAUGAUUAGAGUGUUCCACAAUCAAUAAGUUGACUAGUUGCAAAUCAAGUAGGUUAUCACUCCUCACUAACCACCAACUGUGAGAAUAAGUGGGCAUAACUAUGGAUCACACAAUGACCAUGUAGCACGACAAUAUAUUAAGUGAACAAAUUAUGCUAUUUAUGGAAAUGAAAGGUUUAGACAUAACCUUGUCACCAGGUUAGGUGACUGAUUAGAAGAGGGGUGUAGGUUGAAGCUGGGUCCCACUUGUUGAUCGUUGGUCUCCUAGUUGACCGUUGACAUAUGUUGACUGUUCUAUCUAUAUUGACCGUUGACCAAGUCAACAGUUGACUCGCGCGAACCGGUUCCGGCUGCGCAGGUGCGGGCGGCUGGCAAAGACGGAGGCGGACCGGUCUGGUCCAGCGGUUCAGGCUGACACGAAUUAGGGCUUUUAUACCCUAAUUGUUGGACGGGUAAAUGGGGGGCACGAUCAUGUGGGCUGUGGGAGGCGAGAGCGGCGGAAGGGGUGGGGCCGUAACGAUGGAGGAGGCGGCGGCCGCGGCGGACGGGGUGGCGGCAGGGGCGAGGGAGGAGGCGGCGGCAGCGGGGGACCAUAUGGAGACAGGGACGACGGAGGAGGCGGUGGCAGCGGGGGAGGGGAUGGAGGCAGAGACGACGGAGGAGGCGGCGGAAGCAACUGGUGACGGGGGAGGAUGGCGGACGGUGAAAGAUGGAAAAUUGAGAUAGCUGCAAUGGUGGCGGCAGAUAGCGACGAUGGUUGGCAGCGGAGAGCGAUGACGAGCGACGCCAUCGGUGGCGACGGCUGUGGUAC